UACGUAGGAUGCAAGCGUUGUCCGGAAUUAUUGGGCGUAAAGAGCGAGCAGGCGGCAUACCAAGUUGGACGUGAAAUUUUAGGGCUUAACCCUAAAGGGUCGUCCAAAACUGGUAAGCUAGAGUGCAGGAGAGGAAAGCGGAAUUCCCGGUGUAUUGGUGAAAUGCGUAGAUAUCGGGAGGAACACCAGAGGCGAAGGCGGCUUUCUGGCCUGUAACUGACGCUGAGGCGCGAAGGCUGGGGUAGCGAACAGG
rnacentral:rRNA from 1 species